rnacentral:rRNA from 1 species
AUUGAACGCUGGCGGCAGGCUUAACACAUGCAAGUCGAACGGUAGCGGGCCUUCGGGUGCCGACGAGUGGCGAACGGGUGAGUAAUGUAUCGGAACGUACCUUUCAGUGGGGGAUAACGUAGCGAAAGUUGCGGUAAUACCGCAGAUUUAGUGCGCAGGAAAGCAGGGGAUCGCAAGACAUUGCGCUGAUUGAGCGGCCGAUAGCAGAUUAGCUAGUUGGUGAGGUAAAGGCUGCCCAAGGCGACGAUCUGGAGCGGGUCUUAGAGGAUGAUCCUCCACACUGGACCUGAGACACGGUCCAGACUCCUACGGGAGGCAGCAGUGGGGAAUUUGAGACAAUGGGGACAACCCUGAUCCAGCCAUGCCGCGUGGGUGAAGAAGGCCUUCGGGUUGUAAAGCCCUUUCUGCCGGGGAGAAAUCGUAUCAGCUAAUACCUGGUGCUGAUGACGGUACCGGCAUAAGAAGCACCGGCUAACUACGUGCCAGCCGCCGCGGUAACAC